rnacentral:rRNA from 1 species
GAUGAACGCUAGCGACAGGCUUAACACAUGCAAGUCGAGGGGCAGCACGGGAGUAGCAAUACAACUGGUGGCGACCGGCGCACGGGUGAGUAACGCGUAUGCAACCUACCUAUCAGAGGGGAAUAACCCGGCGAAAGUCGGACUAAUACCGCAUAAAACAGGGGCACCGCAUGGUGCUAUUUGUUAAAGAAAUUCGCUGAUAGAUGGGCAUGCGUUCCAUUAGGUAGUUGGUGAGGUAACGGCUCACCAAGCCGACGAUGGAUAGGGGAACUGAGAGGUUGGUCCCCCACACUGGUACUGAGACACGGACCAGACUCCUACGGGAGGCAGCAGUGAGGAAUAUUGGUCAAUGGGCGAGAGCCUGAACCAGCCAAGUCGCGUGAAGGAAGAAGGAUCUAUGGUUCGUAAACUUCUUUUGCAGGGGAAUAAAGUGCAGGACGUGUCCUGUUUUGUAUGUACCCUGAGAAUAAGGAUCGGCUAACUCCGUGCCAGCCGCCGCCGUAA